rnacentral:lncRNA from 1 species
UUGCGGGGUACGAGGUGCAGAUCUCAACUGGCGUCAAACUGGCUUUUCAUGAUUUUUUAUAAAAACAUCAUAUAGCGCGUACCCGUAGGCUAUUUUUGAUUGGAACAAUGAUCCCAAUACUUGCUUAAAAAUACUGACUUUACGGCCAUGCUACAUGAAGUACUAUUCAAGUUUCGUCAAACAAUAAUAAAUUCAUGUUUGAGACACUAUUUCACGAAUUGUAUUGUAAAACCAAUAAUAUCCUUGAUUCCAGGGGGAGAUUCUGAAGUUUCUAUACUGACGGUUGUCAACGUAGACCAAUGUGUGCUGAAAAAUGCGGAGGCCCAUAGAACGUCAAGGUUUGAAUUAUCAAGACGUAAGAAUGAUACUGCCAGAUUGAUCAUUCGCAGAGGAGAACCGUUCUACAUCAAACUUAUUCUGUCACGCGCAUACAAUCCGAAUACCGAUGCAAUUUCAUUGGUAUUCACUCUGGAUGGCGUUGAAAAACCACAAUACGGACAUGGAACCCUAGUCGCAGCACCAGUUCUGAAAACUGAAAGUGACAGUGAAGGCCCAUGGCAUGCAGUUGAAGAUUAUUUUGACGGUAACACGUUGAAAUUGAAAGAUUGCCGUAACCACACAAGAUGCGGUUACUAAAAUCGACAAACUCGCCCUUGCGAAUGAGGCAUUCAAUGCUCGCUGUCUUUCUCUCGAAAAACGUGACGGCGCUGCGGAUGAUCGUGCUCAGAAGCUUGUUGACGAGUGCAGUGCCUUACGAGCUGAAACGUCGAAUUAUCGGAACACAUCUAAGUCAUGUCUUCCUGAUAUUGCUGACACUUCAGCACUCGGUGAGGUGUCUCGUAUCGCUGCGGCACUUCGGAUCUCUGACACAGCUUAUGACGUAACUGCAGCCUUUCACAUUCCUGAUCCUGAGGGUAAACCUCAGCCACUCAUUGUUAUGUUUGCUUCCUCUAUAAAGUGUAAGAUGUGGAUCGACAAGAAACGCAUUUUAAAGGACUUGUUAGCAAAAAACAUCGACUCCAACUUGCCUAACAGUCGUGUAUAUAUCACUGUACCACUUACGUCAUCUGAACUGUAACUCUACAAUGCUAGCCGUCUGUUUGCCCGUCAACAUGGAUACAAACACAUCUGGGUCAGGAAUGGAGCAGUUCACUUAAGAAAAGAUAAUGACGAUUCGACCCAUUGCGUUCGCAAACUUAGCGACCUUCCUUGACCUCGUAGCUGACUAUCUGGUACUACUACUGAAACCCCUCUAGACUCAGUUGCCCUAUCCAGUGGGGUCGUUCUGUCUGAGCGUGAUUUCGAACCACUUAUCGUGGGAUUUGAGAAUAAACAUGGAUCUAUAACUUGCCCCCAUUAUCCUAAGUCAAGCAAUACUCUACCCUGUAUUGCAUUGCCUAAAUCUGAUAAAUCACUUAUAUGUCACAGCAACGCACAAUCACUGGUAACUCAAAUCGAUGAAUUUCGAGACUCUAACUUUACCACCACAUCUUUCAUUUGAUUUUCGUAUCUGAAACAUUCCUACAGAAGAAGAUUUCGGACGAAUCUGUAUCAUUACUUAAUAACGUAUUAUUCUGCCGGGAUAGGCUUGGCAUUGGCUGUGGUGGAGUUGCAGGUUACCUACAUUAUAUUAUCAAUGCUAAUAUUCUUGCCUCGUCCCCAGAGCAAUAUUAUCACGAGCCGGAAUACCUCAUCUUUGCGAUACCGAGUAAAGAAGUUCCUAAUCUGCCACUUGCGGUUGUAUAUCGACCUCCCAAGAUAAGGUAUGUGUAAUGUAUUGAAGGAAGAAUGAACAGAGAAGUGUUUACCUGAGAGAGGCUUUAUUAAGAGUGA